GACGAACGCUGGCGGCGUGCUUAACACAUGCAAGUCGAACGGAAAGGCCCGGCUCUUGCGGGGUGCUCGAGUGGCGAACGGGUGAGUAACACGUGAGUAACAUGCCCUUGACUUUGGGAUAACUUCAGGAAAAUGGGGCGAAUACCGGAUAUGAGCUCCUGCUGCAUGGUGGGGGAUGGAAAGUUUCGGCGGUUGGGGAUGGACUCGCGGCUUAUCAGCUGGUUGGGGGGGUAGUGGCUUACCAAGGCUUUGACGGGUAGCCGGCCUGAGAGGGUGACCGGCCACAUUGGGACUGAGAUACGGCCCAGUCUCCUACGGGAGGCAGCAGUGGGGAAUAUUGCACAAUGGGCGGAAGCCUGAUGCAGCAACGCCGCGUGCGGGAUGACGGCCUUCGGGGUGUAAACCGCUUUCGCCUGUGACGAAGCGUGAGUGACGGUAAUGGGUAAAGAAGCACCGGCUAACUACGUG
rnacentral:rRNA from 1 species